CCACUGGGAGUUGUGAUUUCGGAACUUUUCUAGCUGCUCGGAAUAAAAAAAAUAAUUAAAAUAUCAGAUACUUCGAGGAUUAAAAAUCUCACCUCGACCUGAUGAAGUAUAUAUGUAUGUUUAAGUUAACGAGAGCCCUUAGCUCUUAGUUCUUAAGUCUACAUUUAAGCUUUUGCUACCCAACAAGGCUAACAAUUGGAUUUAUAAAAGGAAUCCCAGCAAUGCUUCAGAAGUCGCGAAGUGCAAGCAAGAGAUAAAAAAUCUUUAUCUUUGUGCGACAAGUGCAGAAUCUGACGAUAUAUUUACUUAGAGGAUAAAUUACGAAA